AUCCUAACUCUAAUAGAAUACUAAUUAAACUCUAAUUAGACCAUAAUAAUGUUAAGCAAGCUUUAAUGAAAUUCAAAAAAAUUUCAAAGGAAUUACAAAGAAAUAAUAAGAAAUCAUAGAAAAAUAUUAGAAUGAUUACAAAAAUAUUUCAAAUACUUCUCAAUUCAAUCCUAAUUUAAUCCUAGUUAAAAUCCUAUUAGAUUUCAAUCAAACUUUAGACCAAAAAUUAACUAAAUUUUAAACCCUAAAUAAACUCAAAUAAAAUCCUAAAUCCUAAAUCAAAUCCUAAUCAAAUCCUAAAUCCUAAAUCAAAUCCUAAUCAAUCCUAAAUCAAAUCAUAAAUCUGAAACCAAAUCCUAAUCAAAUCUUAAUCAUAAACCAAAUCCUAACCAAAUCCUAAUCCUAAAUCAAAUCCUAACAAAACCCUAAAUCUUAAACCAAAUCCUAAUCCUAAAUCAAAUCUUAACCAACUCUAAUCCUAAAUCAAAUCUUAAUCAAAUUCUAAUCCUAAAUCAAAUCCUAAUCAAAUCCUAAACCAAAUCCUAAAUCCUAAAUCAAACCCUAGUAAUUCCUACAAUAGAUUUACACCUCAAUAAUUAAUAAAUGAACCAUUGAUCUUAAUUAAAAAUUUACAAGUUUUUUAACAAUUAAUUUGACAACAAGCACAAAAAAAUUUGAAAAGGAUGAAAAUUACUAAAUAG
rnacentral:lncRNA from 1 species